ACUUGUCCGCCAGAGAAUUACGGGCGAAAGCCUAAAACUCAAAAGACUUGACGGUGUCCCACCCCUGCCUAGAGGAGCCUGUUUCAUAAUCGAUAACCCCCGUUCAACCCGACCUCUCCUUGAAAUACUUCUCAGCCUAUAUACCGCCGUCCCUCCCCGCUUACCUUCUGAAAGACGCACAGUAAGCCCAAUAGUUUCACAACUAAAAAGUCAGGUCAAGGUGUAGCUUAUGGAGAGGAGAAAAUGGGCUACAUUUUCUACCACUAGAACACCACGAAAAAUAUUCUGAAAUAAAAUAUAUGAAGGCGGAUUUAGUAGUGAG
rnacentral:rRNA from 1 species